CCCAAAGUGCUGGGAUUACAAGCGUGAACCACCAUGCCCAGCCAUGUGUUACACUUUUCGACCUUGGUUCUCAUCUCUUUCUUGGUUCAACCAUCUCCUCUUGCUCUUGACUGUCCUGAAAUGGGAGAGUUUCCUGACCCCGUCACAGAACAUGCAACAGGGGUGUGGCUCUCUGUUCAGCUGCCUUGCUCAAACCCCUAAUGGGCAGGGAGCAUGCAGAUGGGCAGGUCCAAGAGCUGGGGCCAGCACUUUUGGGCUCCAGCCCCAUGGUAGCACCUAGGGGUGGGUGCCUGCAACUCCCGAAGCCCAAGCGGGAGUGUUACAGUGCUCUUUUAGCUCUGCUGUCUGCAGAUGGCUUAAGUGUUAACCAGUUCAGUACCCUCUUGGUACCCGAAACCUUGUCCAGCAUCCAGGAAGAAUUAGGUCACAUGGACGAAACAAAGGAUGGUAAACGCAGGGGACUUUAUUGUCAGAUGGAGGUGGCUCUCAGCUGGAGGGAUGGGGAGCUGAAGAGGGGAUGAAGUAGGAAGAAUGAUCUUCCCCUGGAGUUUGGCUGUCCUGCAGCCAGUCUCCUCUCCAGCCAUCCCCAGAUGAACUCCUCUUGACAUUCAGACAUUCCUUCUUUUCUCUCCUUCUCUGCUGGGCCCGCUUUUCUGCCUCUGCUCAUCUACUUGUGGAGCAUGGGAUUUGGGGUUUAUAUGGGUAUGAGAUAGUGGGACAUGGUGGGCCAAAAGGCAAUAUUUGGGUGCAAAAACAGGAAUGUCUAUUUCUAUUUAGGGCCAUGGGUUUCUAGGCUUGAGGGUGGGGCCUUUGCCAGGCAACUGCCUUCUACCCAGUAUUUCCCUGUCUCUUGUUCAUAUCAGUACCUCUCUCCUUAUCUGAGGUUAAGAUCAGGGGAGGCUUUAGCUCUGUAUCUUAGUUUAGUGUUGGGGUAUGGAUUUCUGGGGACAAAUCUGCCAGAAGCUGGCAGCCUGCCCUGACUUCCAAAAAUUACCUGUUCCCAAUUUUCAGUGGGCCCUGCUCAUGUUUUGACAUAGUUUGCAAUUCCCCUUGGAGCACCUGGUGCCAACUACUUAGCUGAACCACUAUGUGGAAGGCUGAACUCCUUGCAUCUGUGCCUUCUCCAACUUUUCCUGUUAAGUUGACCUGUCCCACUCUGAAGGGCAUGUCUAGUGCUAAGUCUCAGUCCCUUUCCUGCCUACACUGUCCUGCUCCCAAUAAACCUCCACACCUCCUGAUAAAUCCUGGCACAAGAGAAGCAUGUUUGGGAAAGUGUCAGCCUCAGAACUUCUUGGGAAUUGAGGGGGAGGGAGUGACUGGGAGGAGGGCUAGUCCCAGAUCCUAAUGCCCACCUUGCUUCUCAUUGAGGAUUCCGGUUGAUAAAAAAUACACAUAUUGUUAAAUGAGGAUUGCAACAUCAGUUCUGUUUGACUUUCUGUAACAAUUAGAAGACUAGAGAAUAUUGCUAGGUUUCUGACCUCCCACUCAGAAUUAUAGAGAGCCAAGUCUUCCCUACAAGGUGGACUUAUCUACCCAGUCCCAGGCUGAGAAGCUGGAUAUCAGUCCUCCCUGCUCUGAGGUGGUCCCACCAAGGGGUUGACCUACAGAGACUGAUCCAUUGCUCUGAAAUAAAGGCUAGUUCAAGAUGAAUCAGGAAAUGGGGAGCAUGUAGGAGAAGGAGGGACCUUGAGUUUUUACCCUGCCCAGUAGAGGAAUAGCCAGUGAUUAUCAAGCUCUCAUCAGUGUGUCUGAUAACCAAAGUCAUUCUUCCCUCUUUGGAGUGGGAAAGGUAUAGGAAUGAGGUAGGUGCUGAAAAUUCCCACUCCAUCUCUUCCCGCAAAUGAAGAAGGUGUUGGUGGAAGCACCUUCCUUUCUGGGUUGUGGAAGCGAUGAUUCAGCUGAGUCAAAUGACACGUGAACAAUAGGAACAACUCUACCUCCCAUGAACUGUUGGCUUGCUGUCUUCCUCAUGAGUCAGUUUCAGCAGAGUGUGGCCAAGAAAAUUCCCCUGAUGGAGACUGGGUAAACAGUCUACCUCUGUGGGCCACCUCCCUUCCAUCCUCUACCCAGUGCAAGUCAAAGCUGCCCAUCACUGGGCACUGGGCAGUCAGGGGACUCCUGAUGACUGACUCAGAGCAGAGUGAUGUCGUGACAAUCAGGCACAGAAAAUCAACUUCUACAAAAGCCUGACAAGUGAGUGCUUUUCUCUGCUCUCAAAUCCUUUUCAGAGUGGAAGCUUUCUCCAGCAUUCAGGCGGCACCUAACGCUCCAUCCCGAGACCACAGAGAUAACUAAGAUGUGUCAAAGGUUUUGAGGAGAAAGUGACAUCAGUGCACUGUGUCUUAGUUCAGAGGCUAACUGUAUGUGUCACAAAUAGCAUCUGUGGAAAGGUUGUACCUGCCUACAAGAUUAUCAACAGUGUGUGAGAACAUCCGCUUUGCUGAACUCUUUCUCACAUAUCACCUUUAGAGAUGUUAUGUGAGAUGUCUACGAACGCAAAGUUAUUUUCUGGGCUCAUAACUCUCCCUUUUAUGGGUUUAUACUUAGUAGUUAUGUGUUAGUAAAAACUAUCUGAUUAUUAUGUUUUAAAACAUUAUGAAAUUAUAUUAUAGUGUAUAUAUGAUUUACAGUUUUUCUCAAUAAAAUACUGUAAUAUUUAUUCAUGUUGAUAUAGUAGUUCUAUGUUAGUGAUUUUCACGGUUAUAUUGAAUUUGAUUGUGUGAACAUGCAACAAUGUAUUUAUCCAUUUUUCUUCUGAUAGGCCUUUGCUAUUGACAAUGCUUCCAUUCCCACAUGUGUGGCCUUAUGCAAAUGUGCAAGAGUUUCUUUAAGACAUAUGUGGGUAUGCUCACCUUCCACAUUACUAAAUAUUGCCAACUUGCUCUCUGUAGUCUUUGUACCAAUGCAAGCAUCCUCCAGAUAGCUAUCUGAGCAAGCUCUCCUUCCACAUCCAAACCUGCAGGAGAUACAGUAAGACUUUUAUUUGCCAAUCUGAAGGGUGUGGAGUGAUAUCUUAAUUUGUUUCAAUAUGCGUUUACAACAGGCUUUUUUGGUUAAGGGCCAGGUUUGUUCUUUGGGUUUCUUUGGGUUUGUUGUUGUGUUUUUUUCAGCCAACCAUUCAAGAAUGUAAAAACACAUUCUUAGCUCUCUGGCUCUGCCACAACAACUUGUGGGUUAGAUUUGACCUGCAGGCCAUAGUUUGCAGACCCCUUUCUUUGUGAAAACCAGUGAAGUUGAGCAUCUUUUCAGAGGAUUAUUGACCAUUUUCUUCUUUUUAAUUGAAACACAAAUUUUGAGAUUUUUGGGGGUGAUUUGUCUUUUCUUAUGGAUUUGUGGGACUUCUUUGUAAAUUCUGAAUAUGAGUCUUUUCUCAGUUAUAUGUAUUGCCAAUAUCUCUUCCAUCCUUUGGCUGUUUUUCAAUUACAGCACAAUCUUCACUAGAAGUCAUUUCUUGGGGUUUCUAAGUAGAAUUUUGGUCCUCUACAAAUAAUAUAUCCUUUCCUUUUACAUACACAGUCAUUCCUCUUAUUUUGAUUUCAAGCUUUAUUACAUUGGCCACAAUGUUCAGAGCAAUUUAAAAUAGUGAUGAUUAUAUAUGGUUACUAUGUUUUAUUUUUGAUAUGUUAAAAUGUAUGUUGGUCAUGUGAGUUAAUAUGGCUGUUUCUGAGUAAGAACAGAAUCAGGCUUUUUGUGCCUUCCAUUAUGGUAGUCCUCAAUCCUUUCAAGCCAUGGACUCUCUCUUUGUAGCAAAAGACAUUUUUGCAUUUUCUGCUAAGCCGAUGGGCAUUUAUCAUUAUGUAAAUUAAAUCCCUGUGCUUUAUACUGGAUGAUUAGCCCAUCUUCAAGCUCAGUGGUGAAGAGUCACUAGUAGAAAAUGCAGUUUCUAAAGAAACACAUUCUUGCAGGUCAUGAGUAAAUGAGUGAAUGCAUUAACACGUGAAAUGAAUAACAAGAAGACCUCAGACAGAGAACAGAGCACAGGCAUGCCUGGAAGAUAUUGCAGGCUCAGCUCCAGGACCCAGCAAUAAACUGAAUCACAGAGAUUUGGUUUCCCAGUGCAUAUAAAAGUUAUGUUUACACUAUACUGUAGUCUGUUAAGUGUGCAAAAGCAUUAUGUCUGAAAACAAUGCACAUGCUUUAACUAAAAAUACUUAUUGCUAAACAAUACUAACAAUUAUCUCAGCCUUCAGCUGGUCAUAACCUUUUUGUUGGUGGAGAGUAUUGCCUCAGUGUUGAUGGCUACUGACAGAUCAAAAUGGUAGUUACUAAAAGUUGAGGUGGUGUGGCAAAUUAUUAAAAUAAAGCUACAAUGAAGUUUGGUACAUUGAUUGACUCUUUCUUUAA